AUGGGUGGGUGUGCUUCUCUGUCUGUCUGUCUCUGUGUGUGUGUGUGUGGAGAGAGUCUACGUACACAGCCUGCUGAGCGAGCCGAUCCUCUCCUCCGCUUCUCUCCCCCCUCCCCUCUCGCCCCGCUUCCUCUCGUCGUCGUUCGCGUCAGGCUAAUGAUCCCAAGCGCGGCUGGCGAGGAAGCCCCGCCCAGCGCUCACCUCGCUCCUCUUCAGGGAUCCAAGUGGCUUCUGAGGAUUUAUCAUUUACUUCUGGCCUUGAUACCUUGGUGGGAAGCAUUACUGAACCAAGAAUUUUAAAGCACAUAGAAAAAGGAUUGCCAAGGAAGAAUCAGCAUGGCUUCUGCAAAUGAAAGCCUGGUCUUCUUCAACUAGGCAAAGGAAAACUUGGUCAACUUAAGGUCCAAACUAGCUCUGGCAAUGCAGGUUGUGGGCCACGUGCCAACGGUAGGUGGGCAUCGAGUGGCAUGUGCCCCGCAAUACAAUUGUCAGUUCCUCCCCAAAUGCGUUGCCUCACAUGUUGUAACUGGGCUUUAAAAAAACAAAAACAAAACUUGGUUAGCACGGAUAGAAGAAGAGCAAGAAGUAGGAAAAAUCCCACUUCUCUGAGCAGUAAGCAGAACAGCAAAAUAUUGUUUGGUUGUUUUUUCCUGCCUUGGAGGGAGGGAGCAGGAUCUCUGGAGGAGCAGGAUUGUGAAGAGAAGGCAGAUUUUAGGACAUGCAGUUGGUCUCGUGGGAUCUUCCAUCCGGCUGAUGGGGCCUAAUGGAGACUCUUCGCCUGUUGUAUUCAUCCCACAGGCUAGAAUUUGCACAUGCCUCUUUAACCUUUGAGAGUGGAAACAAGCCUGAUGAUAGAGAUGAUCCAACAGACACUUGGACUUUGAGAAUGCUGCCAGCAAAAGCCCUGCUCUGCCAAUACAUUCAUGACAGUGGGAUGAAUACACCAGGAAGGACAUUGCUUUGUUCGUAGUUUCAGCACCUGUUUUGGUAAAAAGUUUGUGGUCACAUGUGAGCAAGAACCCUGAAAGAUCUGGUUUCUUGCUCAUGUGUAAAGGCUACACAUGAGCAGGAGCCUUCUCCUCUUCAGACCUGGUGCUGAAGAAUGAUAACAGAGGUGACUGGACAAGGCAUGGCAUGAUAUGGCACAGUAUGUCCUUCUGAACAUGUUCACAGCUUUGGUAUUUAUGAUACCUGAAUAAGGCUCUAAUAUUUCACCAAAACUAAGGUUAGCAGAAAGGGACGUGGUGGCGCUGUAGGCUAAACCGCAAAAGCCUUUGUGUGCUGCAGGGUCAGAAGAC
rnacentral:lncRNA from 1 species